UACGUAGGGUGCGAGCGUUGUCCGGAAUUAUUGGGCGUAAAGAGCUCGUAGGCGGUGUGUCACGUCGGCCGUGAAAACCUGCAGCUUAACUGUGGGCGUGCGGUCGAUACGGGCAUCACUGGAGUUCGGCAGGGGAGACUGGAAUUCCUGGUGUAGCGGUGAAAUGCGCAGAUAUCAGGAGGAACACCGAUGGCGAAGGCGGGUCUCUGGGCCGAUACUGACGCUGAGGAGCGAAAGCGUGGGGAGCGAACAGG
rnacentral:rRNA from 1 species